rnacentral:rRNA from 1 species
UGGGGAAUAUUGCACAAUGGGCGCAAGCCUGAUGCAGCGACGCCGCGUGAGGGAUGGAGGCCUUCGGGUUGUAAACCUCUUUCGCCAGUGAAGCAGGCCAUCUUCUUUGUGGGGUGGUUGACGGUAGCUGGAUAAGAAGCGCCGGCUAACUACGUGCCAGCAGCCGCGGUAAUACGUAGGGCGCGAGCGUUGUCCGGAAUUAUUGGGCGUAACGAGCUCGUAGGCGGCUGGUCGCGUCUGGCGUGAAAUCCCCUGGCUUAACUGGGGGUUUGCGGUGGGUACGGGCCGGCUUGGGUGCGGUAGGGGAGACGGGAAUUCCUGGUGGAGCGGGGGAAUGCGCAGAUGUCAGGAGGGACACCGGUGGCGAAGGCGGGUCUCUGCGCCGUUACUGACGCUGAGGAGCGAAAGCGUGGGGAGCGAACAGG